GCCUGAAUCAGUGUGUGUGUUAGUGGAAGCGUCUGGAAAGGCGCGCGAUACAGGGUGACAGCCCCGUACACAAAAAUGCACAUACUGUGAGCUCGAUGAGUAGGGCGGGACACGUGGUAUCCUGUCUGAAUAUGGGGGGACCAUCCUCCAAGGCUAAAUACUCCUGACUGACCGAUAGUGAACCAGUACCGUGAGGGAAAGGCGAAAAGAACCCCGGCGAGGGGAGUGAAAAAGAACCUGAAACCGUGUACGUACAAGCAGUGGGAGCCUCUUUAUGGGGUGACUGCGUACCUUUUGUAUAAUGGGUCAGCGACUUAUAUUCUGUAGCAAGGUUAACCGAAUAGGGGAGCCGAAGGGAAACCGAGUCUUAACUGGGCGUUAAGUUGCAGGGUAUAGACCCGAAACCCGGUGAUCUAGCCAUGGGCAGGUUGAAGGUUGGGUAACACUAACUGGAGGACCGAACCGACUAAUGUUGAAAAAUUAGCGGAUGACUUGUGGCUGGGGGUGAAAGGCCAAUCAAACCGGGAGAUAGCUGGUUCUCCCCGAAAGCUAUUUAGGUAGCGCCUCGUGAAUUCAUCUCCGGGGGUAGAGCACUGUUUCGGCAAGGGGGUCAUCCCGACUUACCAACCCGAUGCAAACUGCGAAUACCGGAGAAUGUUAUCACGGGAGACACACGGCGGGUGCUAACGUCCGUCGUGAAGAGGGAAACAACCCAGACCGCCAGCUAAGGUCCCAAAGUCAUGGUUAAGUGGGAAACGAUGUGGGAAGGCCCAGACAGCCAGGAUGUUGGCUUAGAAGCAGCCAUCAUUUAAAGAAAGCGUAAUAGCUCACUGGUCGAGUCGGCCUGCGCGGAAGAUGUAACGGGGCUAAACCAUG
rnacentral:rRNA from 1 species